UGGGGAAUAUUGCACAAUGGGCGAAAGCCUGAUGCAGCAACGCCGCGUGCGGGAUGACGGCCUUCGGGUUGUAAACCGCUUUCACCUGUGACGAAGCGAAAGUGACGGUAGCAGGAGAAGAAGGACCGGCUAACUACGUGCCAGCAGCCGCGGUGAUACGUAGGGUCCGAGCGUUGUCCGGAAUUAUUGGGCGUAAAGGGCUUGUAGGCGGUCCGUCGCGUCAGAAGUGAAAACUCAGGGCUUAACCCUGAGCCUGCUUUUGAUACGGGCGGACUAGAGGGAUGCAGGGGAGAACGGAAUUCCUGGUGGAGCGGUGGAAUGCGCAGAUAUCAGGAGGAACACCGGUGGCGAAGGCGGUUCUCUGGGCAUUACCUGACGCUGAGAAGCGAAAGCGUGGGGAGCAAACAG
rnacentral:rRNA from 1 species